rnacentral:rRNA from 1 species
GACGAACGCUGGCGGCGUGCUUAACACAUGCAAGUCGAGCGGUAAGGCCUUUCGGGGUACACGAGCGGCGAACGGGUGAGUAACACGUGGGUGAUCUGCCCUGCACUUCGGGAUAAGCCUGGGAAACUGGGUCUAAUACCGGAUAUGACCUCAGGUUGCAUGACUUGGGGUGGAAAGAUUUAUCGGUGCAGGAUGGGCCCGCGGCCUAUCGGCUGGUUGGUGGGGUAAUGGCCUACCAAGGCGGCGAGGGGUAGCCGACCUGGGAGGGUGACCGGCCACACUGGGACUGAGACACGGCCCAGACUCAUACGGGAGGCAGCAGUGGGGAAUGUUGCACAAUGGGCGAGGGCCUGAUGCAGCGACGCCGCGUGAGGGAUGACGGCCUUCGGGUUGUAAACCUCUUUCAGCAGGGACGAAGCGCAAGUGACGGUACCUGCAGAAGAAGCACCGGCUAACUACGUGCCAGCAGCCGCCGUAAGAC